AUGGCGGGGAGAUCGGAAGUGGGAGUGGAGGGGGAGGCGGCGGAGGUAGCUGAAGGGAGUAGGUCAGUACGGGAGGAUUCACUAGAUGAGAAGUUGAGAUACCUGAAUCUCAGGGAAGAAGAGGAAGAAGAUGUGGUACUAGAGGAAGAUUUGGAGGAGCUAGAGAAGGAUGCAGAAUUCAUGGCGCUAGCCAGGGUGCACACGUCAAGAAAAUUCAGUCAUGGAGCCUUCUAUGGAACAGUGAGAUCAGCGUGGAAUCUGGCGCAGGAAGUAGAAUUCAGAGCCAUAGAAGAUAACUUGUUCUCUGUACAGAUUGCUUGCCUGGCAGAUUGGGAAAGAGUCAUGCAGGACGGGCCUUGGAUCUUCCGAAACUGCCCGGUGCUGCUUGCUCCUUAUGAUGGUUGGUCCGACCCAGGCGAGGUGGAGCUGAAUACGUACCAGGUGUGGGUG
rnacentral:rRNA from 1 species